rnacentral:rRNA from 1 species
UCCUACGGGAGGCAGCAGUGGGGAAUAUUGCACAAUGGGCGCAAGCCUGAUGCAGCCAUGCCGCGUGUAUGAAGAAGGCCUUCGGGUUGUAAAGUACUUUCAGCGGGGAGGAAGGGGGUGAGGUUAAUAACCUCGCCGACUGACGUACCGCAGAGAGACCGAUUGGC